UUUCAGGGCGGGGUGUAAUUCCCCACCGGCGGUGACUGCGCAGACACAUGGCGCGCAGAAGCCCGCGAGCCGCACAGCGGUUGACCCGGCGAAACUCCGGGGCCGACGGUUAUAGUCCGGAUGAGAGAAA
rnacentral:ncRNA from 1 species